CUCUACAGGUUGUUUCUCUUGGAGUCUUUUUGGUGAGCCCAGGACAUGGGUUGGUGCUUGAGACGCUCAAGGAAUUGCAGGUGUGAACAGGAAUAUACUCUUGCUUUAAUUAAUCAGCUCGUCUGCACAACUGAAGAGCUGAACUUGGAACUUCUGAAAGCGCCAAUGAGGAACUGCGUAUUGAAUCACGUAAGAUGGGACAUGAAAAAUAUUUAAAAACGUUAGGUCCACAAUGCAGGCACCUGAGUAAAGGAUAGCAAAUAGCGAGCGAGUACUCGGCUGGUUGCCCAUGACAAGCUUUGCUCUGAGCCUGUUCCUCAGGUGGUCUUUGCAGAAGCAAAACAUGUCUUAAAUCACGAAGGACACUCGUGAAUUUUGUGAGUCACUCAUAUUCAUGCCUUAUACGUUGUCAUCAUCAGUACUUGGGGUGGCAUGCAUGCCUCUAAACCCAAAUAUCUCUGAAUUUUAGUCUUAGUCUUCUGUUUUGUUUGUUUUGCUUUAUUGUUUUUGUUGUUGUUUUGUUUUGUUUUACUUUAUAAAGCAAAGGAUACUUCACAGCAAGACUGUAUUUUUGAGCCUUAACUCUUCUCUUGGAACUACAUCAUUCACAUCUUCUCUGCUGGAAAACAGGUACAUCCACCAGUGCCUGGUCUCACAUAUCAGAACAUAAAGAAUAUAUUUAUGAGAUCCUCUGCUCUGAAAAGGCUUGGAUAUAAUUUCUGAAGCAGGGUGCUUACUCGUUAACAACUGAAAGAACCUGUUCCCAACAUUGCAUCCCACAUGCUGCUCAGAAUUUUUUCCUUUGAGCUGUGCUGAGAUUUCACAAAAGACUUGAAGGAGUCUCAUUUAAAUCCAACUGAGAAAUCUCACAUUGUUUACACCUUUUUGCCUAAAUGUCUGGACCAAGGGUUGUAGUUUCUCACAUUCGAAAUUGCAAGUAAAAGCUCACAGAGCCAUGAACUGAGCUUUAAAAAUCACCAGGUAUACUUGUUGUGCAGCCAAGACAUACUUUCUGAGUUUGUUUCACAACUUGAAGGAGAAUGGAAAAAGCCAGCCUUCCCAGCUGCAGGCCCAGGGCUCAUGGCAAGUAGCCUGGACCGGAGCUGCUGUUUAGAAACCCGUGGCAUCAUGCAGCACCAGGGCUAUGCAAAAUAAAGCAAGCAGUGGGGGGAACCUUCAAAGCCAACCCAUUUUGUUGACCUGAUAGCAAGACCUGGAUUUCAGAGGAGGGCAUUCAGAAGUGUAGCCUGCAGCUCAUAUUGAUAGUGAGGACCUGUUUCACGCAAACCCCCUACAGGGAUCUGAGCACAGGGACUGUCAGUAGGUCCCUGCUCUGGGAGCACUUGGGGGCUGCUCCGGGUUAGGUGCCAGAGGUAAAUGAGCUGCUGCCCAGUCACAACCCAGACU
rnacentral:lncRNA from 1 species